GAUGAAGAACGUAGCGAAAUGCGAAAAGUAGUGUGAAUUGCAGAAUUCAGUGAAUCAUCGAAUCUUUGAACGCACAUUGCGCCCGCCAGUAUUCUGGCGGGCAUGCCUGUUCGAGCGUCAUUUCAACCCUCAAGCACAGCUUGGUGUUGGGACUCGCGUUAAUUCGCGUUCCUCAAAUUGAUUGGCGGUCACGUCGAGCUUCCAUAGCGUAGUAGUAAAACCCUCGUUACUGGUAAUCGUCGCGGCCACGCCGUUAAACCCCAACUUCUGAAUGUUGACCUCGGAUCAGGUAGGAAUACCCGCUGAACUUAAGCAUAUCAAUAAGCGGAGGA
rnacentral:misc_RNA from 1 species